UACGUAGGGUGCGAGCGUUAAUCGGAAUUACUGGGCGUAAAGCGUGCGCAGGCGGUUUUGUAAGCCAGAUGUGAAAUCCCCGGGCUCAACCUGGGAAUGGCGCUUGUAACUGGCAGGCUAGAGUGUGUCAGAGGGAGGUAGAAUUCCACGUGUAGCAGUGAAAUGCGUAGAGAUGUGGAGGAAUACCGAUGGCGAAGGCAGCCUCCUGGGAUAACACUGACGCUCAGGCACGAAAGCGUGGGGAGCAAACAGG
rnacentral:rRNA from 1 species